rnacentral:rRNA from 1 species
UACGUAGGGUGCGAGCGUUAAUCGGAAUUACUGGGCGUAAAGAGUGCGUAGGCGGUUCUUGAAGUCCGCUGUGAAAGCCCCGGGCUUAACCUGGGAAUGGCAGUGGAAACUAGGGGACUGGAAUCUGGCAGAGGGGGGUGGAAUGCCGCGUGUAGCAGUGAAAUGCGUAGAGAUGCGGCGGAACACCGAUGGCGAAGGCAGCCCCCUGGGCUGAGAUUGACGCUCAGGCACGAAAGCGUGGGGAGCAAACAGG